rnacentral:lncRNA from 10 species
AGAUGAAGUAUUGCUCUGCCAGGCUAGAGUGCAGUGGCGCCAUCUCAGCUCACUGCAACCUCCACCUUCCAAGUUCAAGGGAUUCUCCUGCCUCAGCCUCCAGAGUAGCUGGGACUACAGGCACACACCACCAUGCCUGGCUAAUUUUUGUAUUUUUAGUAGAGAUGGGGUUUCACCAUGUUAGCCAGGAUGGUCUCAAUCUCUUGACCUCGUGAUCCACCCGCCCUGGCCUCCCAAAGUUCUGGGAUUACAGGCAUGAGCCACCGUGCCCAGCCUGUUUCUCUUUUUUAAAUGCGUAUGACUCUGUACUAGUUAAAAAAAAAAAAAAAAAAAAAAAGCAAAUUUUUAAAAAGCAUCUGCUUGAAUCUUUGCUGCCUCCUACAAAAUGUAUUUUCUCUAUCACUCCCAAUGGAUCAUGAUGUAUAGCUAAUUAUUUUAUUUCUUUACCACUCACUUUUAAGUCAGUAUGGUUUUUGUCCUAACUAGUUCACCAAAGUGGUUCUCAAUAGUGACCUUUGAGCCUUUUUUAUUCUGCACACUUUUUUGUUUGUUUGUUUUUCCUUUUUGUGGAGAACAGGGUCUCAUUGUCUUGCCCAGGCUGGUCUCCGACUCCCGGGCUCAAGCUAUCCUCCUGCUCCUGCCUCCCCUAAGUACUGGGAUUGCAGAUGUGAGCUACCGCACCUGGCCCUCAUAUGUUUUGAUGUUGCAUUUGACAAUGCAGUCUUCGUUGUGGAAUCCUUUUGUCCCUUAUCUUUCUGAUAAUCAUGGAUUUAUAUUCUACCCUUUUCUUCUUUGACCAUGUCAUCUCACUUUACUUCCCUAAGGUCUCAGCUUCCCCUCUCUGUUUUAUCCUGCUGCUGCUUCUCCACAUUCUCUGACCCCCUAACCCCCACCCCUUGGAGUUCUGAUCUGUUCCCAUAGCUUCAACUCUUCUGUGUGUUGAGGACUCCCAGAUUCUUCAUUUUAGCCCUGACCAUUGUCCCCUAAGUAGUUGCCUUUAGAAUAUUCCCACUUGACUCGCCCGU